ACUAUAGUACCGCCGGUACACAUCCGCCCGACGCUGAAACUUUUCCUUUUGCAUGGUAGCCACGACCGCCCAUAGUGAGGCGGCUGUAGCCCGCUUCCGCCCUUACAGAGAACCCAGGACGCGACCGAGACAGGAGGGCUGAUGUUCCUUUUGAAGAAGAGUUCAGAAAAAGGGUGGUAUCCUGUGAAGGAAAGCCGUGACUGAGGCCCAAGGAGAUGGAGCCAAGGCCUGUCAAGGAAGAAAAGGACUUUUCCCACCAAGAGUUGGAGAAAGAAGACACCAGGACUACUUCUUCCUCUUCCCAGUGGGUGGCAGCACGGAUCUCUAAGAGCUGGCCAGGUGCUCCACCUGGAUGGUGCUGGUGGUGACAGUGAGGCAGAUGUCCUUAUGAUGCUCCGCCGUCUUAUACGGGGUCAGGUCAAAGGAACACUGGGGUGGAGGGUUGGGAUUGCUGUCCCCACCACCCCCACCCUGGGGGGCUGCCCCAGGAGACUGGAAGUGUGGUGGUGGCUGUUGCUGUUGCUGCUGCUGCUGCU
rnacentral:antisense_RNA from 1 species